AACCAUGUUAGCCCCCAACACCCAAUUGGGAGCAGCGUUCAAAAAACCAGGGAGCAGGCAUCAACUUUCGGUACAGAAUCCAUUUUCUCACCUGGUAAUCGCUUACAGCCUGUUUGUAAGCGAUUACACAGGCCGAAAAGGCACAACCUUCACUGUCCUGUUUUCAUUUAACAUUACUGUGAACAAAUGUGAGACAAUACUAAAUACAUAAAAUCAGUAGUAAGAAUGUGUAUUCAUUUCCUAUAAAUUUGUACAAAUAUGUAAAUAUUUCCAAUGUAAAAAUUUGCAAUACUGUAAAUCA
rnacentral:lncRNA from 1 species